rnacentral:rRNA from 1 species
ACGCUGGCGGCGUGCCUAAUACAUGCAAGUAGAACGCUGAAGAGAGGAGCUUGCUCUUCUUGGAUGAGUUGCGAACGGGUGAGUAACGCGUAGGUAACCUGCCUUGUAGCGGGGGAUAACUAUUGGAAACGAUAGCUAAUACCGCAUAACAAUGGGUGACACAUGUCAUUUAUUUGAAAGGGGCAAUUGCUCCACUACAAGAUGGACCUGCGUUGUAUUAGCUAGUAGGUGAGGUAACGGCUCACCUAGGCGACGAUACAUAGCCGACCUGAGAGGGUGAUCGGCCACACUGGGACUGAGACACGGCCCAGACUCCUACGGGAGGCAGCAGUAGGGAAUCUUCGGCAAUGGGGGCAACCCUGACCGAGCAACGCCGCGUGAGUGAAGAAGGUUUUCGGAUCGUAAAGCUCUGUUGUAAGUCAAGAACGAGUGUGAGAGUGGAAAGUUCACACUGUGACGGUAGCUUACCAGAAAGGGACGGCUAACUACGUGCCAGCAGCCGCGGUAAUACGUAGGUCCCGAGCGUUGUCCGGAUUUAUUGGGCGUAAAGCGAGCGCAGGCGGUUUGAUAAGUCUGAAGUUAAAGGCUGUGGCUCAACCAUAGUUCGCUUUGGAAACUGUCAAACUUGAGUGCAGAAGGGGAGAGUGGAAUUCCAUGUGUAGCGGUGAAAUGCGUAGAUAUAUGGAGGAACACCGGUGGCGAAAGCGGCUCUCUGGUCUGUAACUGACGCUGAGGCUCGAAAGCGUGGGGAGCGAACAGGAUUAGGUACCCUGGUAGUCCACGCCGUAAACGAUGAGUGCUAGGUGUUGGAUCCUUUCCGGGAUUCAGUGCCGCAGCUAACGCAUUAAGCACUCCGCCUGGGGAGUACGACCGCAAGGUUGAAACUCAAAGGAAUUGACGGGGGCCCGCACAA